AUUGAACGCCGGCGGCAUGCCUUACACAUGCAAGUCGAACGGCAGCACGGGUGCUUGCACCUGGUGGCGAGUGGCGAACGGGUGAGUAAUACAUCGGAACGUACCUUAUCGUGGGGGAUAACGCAGCGAAAGCUGUGCUAAUACCGCAUACGCCCUGAGGGGGAAAGCGGGGGAUCGCAAGACCUCGCGCGAUUAGAGCGGCCGAUGCCUGAUUAGCUUGUUGGUGGGGUAAAAGCCCACCAAGGCGACGAUCAGUAGCUGGUCUGAGAGGACGAUCAGCCACACUGGGACUGAGACACGGCCCAGACUCCUACGGGAGGCAGCAGUGGGGAAUUUUGGACAAUGGGGGCAACCCUGAUCAAGCAAUGCCGCGUGAGUGAAGAAGGCCUUCGGGUUGUAAAGCUCUUUUGUCAGGGAAGAAACACCGGCUCUAACACAGUCUGGGAAUGACGGUACCUGAAGAAUAAGCACCGGCUAACUACGUGCCAGCAGCCGCGGUAA
rnacentral:rRNA from 1 species